GCUAAAAUAUUUUACUUCUAUUCUGCACAAAUUAAUUCUUUCUUGAGGCAAUUAAGAACUCUUAUAAUUAGUUUCACCAUAAAGAUUCUCUUUAUUAACCCUCAAUUAUAUUAAUUCAAUUACAUUAUAAAAAUAAAAAAUAAAAACUAUAAUAAUGAGGACAAGGUUCCUCAAGGAAUAAUUUAAGCAAAUAUUGACAGCUACAACUUAUUUACUUGGUCCAACGCAUUACCAAAAAUAGACUCUUGUCAAUUCCAUCAUAAAAGCAACUGACAAAAAAAAUAAAAAAGGAAAACAUAGAAGUAAAAUAUUGUACAUUACUAAAACACCUUCAGUAGUCAAUAACUCAGAAUGCACAUUAUAUUGUUCACAUGUCAACAAGGCAAUAUCACUCUUUAUUAUACUUCAGAAUAUCAUACACUUCAAUAGCAGCUUCCACUCUGCUAUUGCCUACACUCAUUUAAAGGUACAUUAUAUAAGGUUUUGUUUCUAUAGCAUCCUUUAUCUUACUCAUAUUCUUCCAUUCAAAGUUGGUUUUUUUUUUUUU
rnacentral:misc_RNA from 1 species